UUCAUACAAUGGAAUGAAAAAGGCCUCACUUCGAAUGGCGCUAAUUGACCCUUUUGCCUCAGGAAUUUUAGGAUACAAACCAAAUAAAAAUUCCAAAAUCUCAUUGGACACUCCCAAAUUUGACAAGCUCUUCUUUAAUAUAGAAGGUAAACUGUAUCAAACCCACCAAAAAAAACAAAAAAAUUUAAAACUUGUGCCCAAAUCAAAUUAUACACUAUAGAUAAUGAGGAUAUUAUUCAGUACUAACCCAUCACUGAAUUAAGACAAAAAAUCAAGAAAAGAAUGAAAAUUUGGAAACUUUAAGGUUGUUAAUACAUACCCAGAUUCUUGUUUGACAGUGAAUUCACCUGAGGCAAUUUUAGCAGACAAUUCAGCUCGUCUUUUCUCUUCAAGAAGCUGGUCAGCACUCUUAACAACACCAUCAUCCACUGAAUCAUUUGGACUUCUACCAUUUGAAGAAGAACAUGCAAUGAAUGAAGAACAUGAUCCUCUAUGUGAUGUUUUUAAGGAACAUGGAAAGAGAGAACAAGAUGAAGAAAAAG
rnacentral:lncRNA from 1 species